CCUACGGGUGGCAGCAGUGGGGAAUAGUGGGCAAUGGGCGAAAGCCGGACCCAGCAACGCCGCGUGAAGGAAGAAGGCGUUCGGGUUGUAAACUUCUUGUGACAGGGAAGAGCAGAAGACGGUACCUGUCGAAUAAGCCACGGCUAACUACGUGCCAGCAGCCGCGGUAAUACGUAGGUGGCAAGCGUUGUCCGGAUUUACUGGGGGUAAAGGGCGUGUAGCCGGGCUGACAAGUCAGAUGUGAAAUCCGGGGGCUCAACCCCCGAACUGCAUUUGAAACUGUUGGUCUUGAGUAUCGGAGAGGCAGGCGGACUUCCUCGUGUCGCGGUGAACUGCGUAGUGAUUAGGAGGAACCCCAGUGGCGAAGGCGGCCUGCUGGACGACAACUGACGGUGAGGCGCGAAAGCGUGGGGAGCAAACAGGAUUAGAUACCCCAGUAGUC
rnacentral:rRNA from 1 species